AAAAAAUCAUUUUUUCUGUAAUCGUAUUUUAACUAAAACUUGCCAAAACAAAAAUACAAAUGUUAAAAAAUUAUACUUGAGAAAGUAUAAAUUUUUGUUUUAGUAACAAGACCAAAUGCUCCAAUUAAAUUAUAGUUACCUAUAACUUGCUCCUUCUGAUGCAUUUUUCUUUGUAUUGUCUGUCAUAUUUAUCUAAUAUAUGAAUAACUUUCUGAUUGUAAUUGGCUCACAGUCCAGUUGGAAGGAUUGACAUUCAGUGUGAUUUCUUCUUUGAUUGGGAUAAGCAUCCGGUGCUAUGAGAAGACGGAGUAGGGAAACCAAACCUGGGUGGCUUCCCAAGGCGAUGUCAGCUAUGAGCCAUGUUAUUUGAAAGUAUGUGAAUUAUCCAGAGGAGAAGAAAGAUGGAUGGGGAGAGAUUUCUAGGGAACAUGUUCAAAGUCACAAAGGAAAAGAGAACAUGGACAAGGUAAGCAAACAUGGAUGAAAACUCUCCAGGGGGAGAAUUAUUAGGUGAAGACCAAGUGGGCACUGCUCCUAGCCAGUAUUUGCCUGAACACAUCGCUGGGCCUGCUUCACGUCGCUCCAGUACUCGUCUCCCGUCUCUCUCCAAGGAUGGCCUCCUCUUACUCACCUGCUUUGCAUAUUCUAAAAAUUCUUUGAGACUUGUCUCAGUGUCUUCCUCCUCCGGAGAUGAGCUUCUGAAGCUUUACAUUCUUAGAACUUUUAUUUGUGAUACUCAUAUAGCUCACGUAACACUUAUCUUACAUUGCCCUGUUCUUUCUUAACAUUCUAAUUAUAUUUCAAGCUCCUGGAGGGCACAGACCAUAUUUUCUAUCUACCAAAUCCCCGGGAGGGAUUUAAAAGAUCACUUAGAAAGGUGGUCCCUUAGCUGAUUAUCCAUAUCUUUUGGGAGCUUUUUAAAGAUAUGAAUUCUCAGGUCCCAUCUUAUAUGUAAUGAAUCAGAUGUUGUGUGUGUGUUUGUCUUUGUUUGCUGAGGGCAGAGUCAGGUAGAGGGAUGUGAAAAGAAGCUAUGUUUUUGGUUUUUUGGGGUUUUUUUUGAGGAAGAUUAGCUCUGAGCUAACAUCUGCUGCCAAUCCCCCUCUUUUUGCUGAGGAAGACUGGCCCUGAGAUAACAUCUGUGCCCAUCUUCCUCUAUUUUAUGAGGGACGCCAACCACAACAUGGCUUGACAAGCGGUGCAUGGGUCCACACCCAGGAUCUGAACCAGCGAACCCCAGGCCGCCGAAGCAGAACGUGUGAACUUAUCCGCUGCGCCACCGGGCUGGACCCCUAUGUUUUUGUUUUUUGUUCUACAAGACUUACUGUCUACAAAAACUGUCUACAAAAUAUAGCGCCUCCUACUGAUGCUUUGGUGCCAUGUGAGAGGAGCAAGGAACAAAAGCUCCAGAGGCUUUGUCUGCUUCAGACCGUUUAGGAUGGACCAAAUUCAUAUGGUACCCUGGAAGCUCAGUUCCAGAGCACAGCCGGACGUGGCACACCUCCAGUGGGAGCAGCUCAUGUGGCAUUUCAGUGGCUUAUGCCCCCAAACAGCCACUGCAACUUGUUUCCCUGAGAGAUUUAUUCAACUGCUAUCUUCUAAGGCAUACUGAUUUUUAACGUAUAUGGUAGUUUUCAUUAUCAUAAACUGUCCUUGUUCCAUACUGUUCUUUUUUUCUUUUUUAAAGCAUCUCAUUUUUUUUCAUUAAAAAAAUAUUUUUACUUUUUUGAAAUAUUCCAUUGGGAUCAAUUCACAAUUUGGUUCACCGUGCAUUUUUUUAUGCAUAUAAAAUUUUAC
ensembl:lncRNA